UACGUAGGUGGCAAGCGUUGUCCGGAAUUAUUGGGCGUAAAGCGCGCGCAGGUGGUUCUUUAAGUCUGAUGUGAAAGCCCACGGCUCAACCGUGGAGGGUCAUUGGAAACUGGGGAACUUGAGUGCAGAAGAGGAAGGUGGAAUUCCAAGUGUAGCGGUGAAAUGCGUAGAGAUUUGGAGGAACACCAGUGGCGAAGGCGACUUUCUGGUCUGUAACUGACACUGAGGCGCGAAAGCGUGGGGAGCAAACAGG
rnacentral:rRNA from 1 species